rnacentral:rRNA from 1 species
GAUGAACGCUGGCGGCGUGCCUAAUACAUGCAAGUCAAGCGAACAGACGAGGAGCUUGCUCCUCUGACGUUAGCGGCGGACGGGUGAGUAACACGUGGAUAACCUACCUAUAAGACUGGGAUAACUUCGGGAAACCGGAGCUAAUACCGGAUAAUAUAUUGAACCGCAUGGUUCAAUAGUGAAAGACGGUUUUGCUGUCACUUAUAGAUGGAUCCGCGCCGCAUUAGCUAGUUGGUAAGGUAACGGCUUACCAAGGCAACGAUGCGUAGCCGACCUGAGAGGGUGAUCGGCCACACUGGAACUGAGACACGGUCCAGACUCCUACGGGAGGCAGCAGUAGGGAAUCUUCCGCAAUGGGCGAAAGCCUGACGGAGAAACGCCGGGGGGGUGAUGAAGGUCUUCGGAUCGUAAAACUCUGUUAUUAGGGAAAAACAAAUGGUUAAGUAACUAUGCACGUCUUGACGGUACCUAAUCAGAAAGCCACGGCUAACUACGU